UUUUGAAUUUUGCAUCGAAAGAGACGCUAUAUUCUAUAUCUCACUUCCCGAUCUGUUUCGAUCCGCCAUUUUUUUACGUAGGAAAGCGUGUGGUUUGGCAUUGUGUUUUGUCGAAUUGCUUUACGGAAAUACUGACUUGGGGUCACUACAUACUUCGAUUCUCGCGCACCAGCGGACGCAGCAAGUGAGACGCCAUUGUUAGAUUGCGUUCUCUUGUGUAAAGUCGUGUAUCUAAUAUCAACGUUGGUUAAAUUAUUCGUUGAAAGUAGCACGCAAUAAUCUUCGGUUCUAAGACGAGCCGAAAAUGCCGGGUUUUAGUAGUGUUGGCACGUUCAAAAUUUUCAUCGGUAAUUUAGCCGAUAAAACAACAAAUGCUGAUAUUAAACCAUUAUUCGAAAAAUAUGGAAAGGUUGUAGAAUGUGAUGUGGUGAAAAAUUACGGAUUUGUGCAUAUGGAAAACGAAGAAGCAGGAAGAAAUGCAAUACAAAAUUUGAAUGGACAUAUAGUUCAUGGUCAGGAGAUUAAAUGUGAAGCUGCAAAGAGUCGUAAAGGACCUAACACACCUACAACAAAAAUAUUUGUUGGCAAUCUCACAGAUAAUACAAAAGCGCCUCAAGUGCGCGAAUUAUUUGCCAAGUACGGUACUGUUGUAGAAUGCGAUAUCGUGAGAAAUUAUGGAUUCGUCCAUCUAGAAGCAACAGGUGAUGUCAACGAUGCCAUCAAGGAACUCAAUGGAAGAAUGGUGGAUGGUCAAGCGAUGAAGGUUCAAAUUUCUACAAGCAGAGUACGACAAAGGCCAGGAAUGGGAGAUCCUGAACAGUGCUAUCGAUGCGGUCGCGGCGGCCAUUGGUCCAAGGAGUGCCCGAAAGGAGGAAUGGGAGGAGGACCAGAUAGAAACGGAUACAGAGACCGAAUGUUUGGACGCGAUCCGUAUCCUCCACCGCCGCCACCACCGUUCCUUCGGGAUCGGUUAAUGGGUGGUGGCCGCUUUGGAGAUUACGAAAGCUACUAUGACAGGAGAGGCUUCGAGGACACCAGGGAUCUCUACGAGAGGCGGUUUACGGGUAUGACAGGGCCCUGUGACAUGGGAAGUUCCAUGUGCGGGCUUGACUUUCCACCAAUGACAAUGCCACCUCUACCCCCAAGACGAGACCCAAUGCCUCCUAUGCCUCCUCUAGGUAUGGGAUCCAUGCGCGACACUGGCUUCUCCCGUGGUAACGAGUAUGGCAUGUUCAGCCGCCGAUCGCCCCCUCCAAGUGGCAACAAUGGCCGGUUCAGUGCACCUCAGGCUGCGUACCAUCUUUGUCCAUGAAUGCGGGCAACCCUAGAGAGACAGUCCCGGGCCAGCGGUCAAGUCGUGCAAGAGACACGAUAGACCCCUGCCUCAUAUCGCUUCUGGACAUGGAAGGAGUCUGGACUUUGAUGGUGUCGAUAACGAAGAGAAAAAGUAAGAGAAAAAAGAUAAACAUAGAAAAUAAGUGAGGGAAAAAGAAAACAAAACAAAAAAGAAUGAAAGAAAAAAAUAAAUACAACGACGUAUAUCCUUUGUGAUGAGAUGUAAUUGUCGACCAGGACAACUUCUAUACUUCAUUGAGAAAGAGAGAGACGCCAUGGCUGACAAAGAUGAUGGUGAAUGAUGAUGGUGAAUGUGGCACUAUAGAUCCCAUUCUGGAUAAAUAUGUUGGGUGUAAACUACAUUGUAUCUAUAAGGCAAGUUUAUUCAGUAUCAUUCUGAUUUGCGUGAAAACGCAAAAUAAAAGCAAACAAAUGUAUUUUUUUCCCUCAAAA